rnacentral:rRNA from 1 species
AUUGAACGCUGGCGGCAGGCCUAACACAUGCAAGUCGAGCGGAUGAAGGGAGCUUGCUCCUGGAUUCAGCGGCGGACGGGUGAGUAAUGCCUAGGAAUCUGCCUGGUAGUGGGGGAUAACGUCCGGAAACGGGCGCUAAUACCGCAUACGUCCUGAGGGAGAAAGUGGGGGAUCUUCGGACCUCACGCUAUCAGAUGAGCCUAGGUCGGAUUAGCUAGUUGGUGGGGUAAAGGCCUACCAAGGCGACGAUCCGUAACUGGUCUGAGAGGAUGAUCAGUCACCCUGGAACUGAGACACGGUCCAGACUCCUACGGGAGGCAGCAGUGGGGAAUAUUGGACGAUGGGCGAAAGCCUGAUCCAGCCAAGCCGCGUGUGUGAAGAAGGUCUUCGGAUUGUAAAGCACUUUAAGUUGGGAGGAAGGGCAGUAAGUUAAGACCUUGCUGUUUUGACGUUACCAACAGAAUAAGCACCGGCUAACUUCGUG